rnacentral:rRNA from 1 species
AUUGAACGCUGGCGGCAUGCCUUACACAUGCAAGUCGAACGGUAACGGGCCUUCGGGUGCCGACGAGUGGCGAACGGGUGAGUAAUACAUCGGAACGUGCCCGAUCGUGGGGGAUAACGAGGCGAAAGCUUUGCUAAUACCGCAUACGAUCUACGGAUGAAAGCAGGGGACCGCAAGGCCUUGCGCGGACGGAGCGGCCGAUGGCAGAUUAGGUAGUUGGUGGGAUAAAAGCUUACCAAGCCGACGAUCUGUAGCUGGUCUGAGAGGAGGAUCAGCCACACUGGGACUGAGACACGGCCAAGACUCCUACGGGAGGCAGCAGUGGGGAAUUUUGGACAAUGGGCGCAAGCCUGAUCCAGCCAUGCCGCGUGCAGGAUGAAGGCCUUCGGGUUGUAAACUGCUUUUGUACGGAACGAAAAGCCUUCUUUUAAUACAGGAGGGUCAUGACGGUACCGUAAGAAUAAGCACCGGCUAACUACGUG